UGCCUUACCUGCAGUCGGACGGUAACAGGUCUUCGGACGCUGACGAAUGGCGAACGGGUGAGUAAUACAUCGGAACGUGCCCAGUCGUGGGGGAUAACUACUCGAGAGAGUAGCUAAUACCGCAUACGAUCUGAGGAUGAAAGCGGGGGACCUUCGGGCCUCGCGCGAUUGGAGCGGCCGAUGGCAGAUUAGGUAGUUGGUGGGAUAAAAGCUUACCAAGCCGACGAUCUGUAGCUGGUCUGAGAGGACGACCAGCCACACUGGGACUGAGACACGGCCCAGACUCCUACGGGAGGCAGCAGUGGGGAAUUUUGGACAAUGGGCGAAAGCCUGAUCCAGCAAUGCCGCGUGCAGGAUGAAGGCCUUCGGGUUGUAAACUGCUUUUGUACGGAACGAAAAAGCUUCUCCUAAUACGAGAGGCCCAUGACGGUACCGUAAGAAUAAGCACCGGCUAACUACGUGCCAGCAGCCGCGGUAAUACGUAGGGUGCGAGCGUUAAUCGGAAUUACUGGGCGUAAAGCGUGCGCAGGCGGUUAUGUAAGACAGAUGUGAAAUCCCCGGGCUCAACCUGGGAACUGCAUUUGUGACUGCAUGGCUAGAGUACGGUAGAGGGGGAUGGAAUUCCGCGUGUAGCAGUGAAAUGCGUAGAUAUGCGGAGGAACACCGAUGGCGAAGG
rnacentral:rRNA from 1 species